GUUCUCAGCACCCAUGGGUGCUCGGUGGUGGUCCCAUGGUUGGUGUCAUCUUGUUCUUGGCACCCAUGGGUGCUCUGGGGUGGGUUUCUGGUGGUGUCAUCUUGUUCUUGGCACCCAUGGGUGCUCUGGGGUGGUCCCAUGGGUGGUGUCACGUUGUUCUCAGCACCCAUGGGUGCUCGUGGUGGUCUCAUGAGUUUCUGGGUGGUGCUGUGUCAUCCUUGGCACCCAUGGGUGCUCCGUGGUUGCCUUCCAGAUGGUGUUAUGUCCUCCUCGGCACCCAUGGGUGCUCGGUGGUGGUCCCAUGGGUGGUGUCAUCUUGUUCUUGGCACCCAUGGGUGCUUGGUGGUGGCCUUCUGGGUGGUUUUGAUGUCCUCAGCACCCAUGGGUGCUCAGCGGUGCCUGGAGGCAUUGGCCUGAGGGCUUUGUGGCCAAUGGGUGCUGCUGGUGACCCAUGGGUGCCCCCAUGACCCAUGGGUGCUCUUGGUGGUCAAUGGGUGCUCCCCAUGACCCAUGGGUGCUGCUGGUGGUCCCAUGGGUGCCCCCCCUGCCCAAGGCCUGACCCCGCUGCCUGUGGGCAUCUCCAGGACUUGCGCACCCGAAACACCUCGGGGUGCCCCGCAGCACCUUGGGGUGCCCCAAUAACACCCCCAAGGCGCCCCAUAGCACCCUUGGGUGCCCCAUAGCACCUUUGGGUGCCCUAUAACCACCUCAGGGCGCCCCCUACCACCCCUUAGACCACCCCCUACCACCUUGGGGCACCCCAUAACACCCUCAAGGCACCCUGUAGCACCUUUGGGUGCCCCAUAACACCCCUUAGACCACCCCCUACCACCUCAAGGUGCCCCAGAGCACCCUCAAGACACCCCA
rnacentral:lncRNA from 1 species